GAUCAUGGCUCAGAAUGUACGCUGGCGGCACGCCUAACACAUGCAAGUCGAGCGAGGUACUUGUACCUAGCGGCAGACGGGUGCGUAACAUGUGGGAAUCUGCCUUUUGGUUCGGAACAACACGGGGAAACCUGUGCUAAUACCGGAUAAGUCCUUACGGAGAAAGAUUUAUCGCCGAAAGAUGAGCCCGCACUAGAUUAGCUUGUUGGUAAGGUAAAAGCUUACCAAGGCUACGAUCUAUAGCUGAUUUGAGAGGAUGAUCAGCCACACUGGGACUGAGACACGGCCCAGACUCCUACGGGAGGCAGCAGUGGGGAAUCUUGCACAAUGGAGGAAACUCUGAUGCAGCGAUGCCGCGUG
rnacentral:rRNA from 1 species